AGGUCGAGCCUGCCCGGUGACUAUAUGUUUAACGGCCGCGGUAUUUUAACCGUGCAAAGGUAGCGCAAUCACUUGUCUUUUAAAUGAAGACCUGUAUGAAUGGUAUUACGAGGGCUUAACUGUCUCCUUUUUCAAGUCAGUGAAAUUGAUCUCCCCGUGCAGAAGCGGGGAUAAGACCAUAAGACGAGAAGACCCUAUGGAGCUUUAAGACACCAAGGCAAAUCAAGUUAAACACCCCUAAACAAAGGACUAAACCUAUUGAACUCUUGCCCGUAUGUCUUCGGUUGGGGCGACCAUGGGGAAACAAAAAACCCCCACGUGGAACGGGAGCACAACUACUCCUACAGCUGAGAGCUGCCGCUCUAAUAAGCAGAACUUCUGACCAAUAACUGAUCCGGCAACGCCGAUCAACGGACCAAGUUACCCUAGGGAUAACAGCGCAAUCCCCUUUUAGAGCCCCUAUCGACAAGGGGGUUUACGACCUCGAUGUUGGAUCAGGACAUCCCAAUGGUGCAGCCGCUAUUGAAGGUUCGUUUGUUCAACG
rnacentral:rRNA from 1 species